GUGAAUCAUCGAAUCUUUGAACGCAAAUUGCACUCUCUGGUAUUCCGGAGAGUAUGCCUGUUUGAGGGUCAGUUUAAAUACAAAUAGGUGUGGUUGCUGCGUUUCGUGGCGACGCACUGGAUUUGGGUCGUCUUGCUUUCGGUUAAGUUACAUAAAUUUUUGCUUGAUUUUUUUAGAAUGUUUUUAAAUGAUUCUAUGUACGUUUGGGUUACCGAUUUUUAGUUGCGGU
rnacentral:misc_RNA from 1 species